rnacentral:rRNA from 1 species
UACGAAGGGGGCUAGCGUUGUUCGGAAUUACUGGGCGUAAAGCGCACGUAGGCGGAUAUUUAAGUCAGGGGUGAAAUCCCAGAGCUCAACUCUGGAACUGCCUUUGAUACUGGGUAUCUUGAGUAUGGAAGAGGUAAGUGGAAUUGCGAGUGUAGAGGUGAAAUUCGUAGAUAUUCGGCAGGAACACCAGUGGCGAAGGCGGCUUACUGGUCCAUAACUGACGCUGAGGUGCGAAAGCGUGGGGAGCAAACAGG